rnacentral:rRNA from 1 species
GAUGAACGCUGGCGGCGUGCCUAAUACAUGCAAGUCGAGCGAACGGACGAGAAGCUUGCUUCUCUGAUGUUAGCGGCGGACGGGUGAGUAACACGUGGAUAACCUACCUAUAAGACUGGGAUAACUUCGGGAAACCGUAGCUAAUACCGGAUAAUAUUUUGAACCGCAUGGUUCAAAAGUGAAAGACGGUCUUGCUGUCACUUAUGGAUGGAUCCGCGCUGCAUUAGCUAGUUGGUAAGGUAACGGCUUACCAAGGCAACGAUGCAUAGCCGACCUGAGAGGGUGAUCGGCCACACUGGAACUGAGACACGGUCCAGACUCCUACGGGAGGCAGCAGUAGGGAAUCUUCCGCAAUGGGCGAAAGCCUGACGGAGCAACGCCGCGUGAGUGAUGAAGGUCUUCGGAUCGUAAAACUCUGUUAUUAGGGAAGAACAUAUGUGUAAGUAACUGUGCACAUCUUGACGGUACCUAAUCAGAAAGCCACGGCUAACUACGUGCCAGCAGCCGCGGGUAUACGUAGGUGGCAAGCGUUAUCGGGAAUUAUUGGGCGUAAAGCGCGCGUAGCGGUUUUUUAAGUCUGAUGUGAAAGCCCACGGCUCAACCGUGGAGGGUCAUUGGAAACUGGAAAACUUGAGUGCAGAAGAGGAAAGUGGAAUUCCAUGUGUAGCGGUGAAAUGCGCAGAGAUAUGGAGGAACACCAGUGGCGAAGGCGACUUUCUGGUCUGUAACUGACGCUGAUGUGCGAAAGCGUGGGGAUCAAACAGGAUUAGAUACCCUGGUAGUCCACGCCGUAAACGAUGAGUGCUAAGUGUUAGGGGGUUUCCGCCCCUUAGUGCUGCAGCUAACGCAUUAAGCACUCCGCCUGGGGAGUACGACCGCAAGGUUGAAACUCAAAGGAAUUGACGGGGACCCGCACAAGCGGUGGAGCAUGUGGUUUAAUUCGAAGCAACGCGAAGAACCUUACCAAAUCUUGACAUCCUUUGACAACUCUAGAGAUAGAGCCUUCCCCUUCGGGGGACAAAGUGACAGGUGGUGCAUGGUUGUCGUCAGCUCGUGUCGUGAGAUGUUGGGUUAAGUCCCGCAACGAGCGCAACCCUUAAGCUUAGUUGCCAUCAUUAAGUUGGGCACUCUAAGUUGACUGCCGGUGACAAACCGGAGGAAGGUGGGGAUGACGUCAAAUCAUCAUGCCCCUUAUGAUUUGGGCUACACACGUGCUACAAUGGACAAUACAAAGGGCAGCGAAACCGCGAGGUCAAGCAAAUCCCAUAAAGUUGUUCUCAGUUCGGAUUGUAGUCUGCAACUCGACUACAUGAAGCUGGAAUCGCUAGUAAUCGUAGAUCAGCAUGCUACGGUGAAUACGUUCCCGGGUCU